rnacentral:rRNA from 1 species
UAGUCCACGCCGUAAACGAUGUCAACUAGCCGUUGGGAGCAUAUAAGCUCUGAGUGGCGCGGCUAACGCGAUAAGUUGACCGCCUGGGGAGUACGCCGGCAACGGUAAAACUCAAAGGAAUUGACGGGGACUUACACAAGCAGUGGAGCAUGUGGUUUAAAUCGACAAUACGCGCGAAAUCUUACCUAGGCUAGAAUGCCUUUGACCGUCCUUGAAAGAGGGCUUUCCUUCGGGACAAAGUGCAAGGUGCUGCAUGGUUGUCGUCAGCUCGUGCCGUGAGGUGUUGGGUUAAGUCCCGCAACGAGCGCAACCCCUAUUACUAGUUGCCAGCACUUCGGGUGGGGACUCUAGUAAGACUGCCGGCGUAAGCCGCGAGGAAGGUGGGGACGACGUCAAAUCAUCAUGGCCUUUAUGCCUAGGGCGACACACGUGCUACAAUGGUAGGGACAGAGGGUAGCGAAUCAGUGAUGUGGAGCUAAUCUCAAAAACCCUAUCCCAGUUCGGAUUGGAGU